UCGGGAAUUUUGGGCAAUGGGCGCAAGCCUGAUCCAGCCAUGCCGCGUGAGUGAUGAAGGCCUUAGGGUUGUAAAGCUCUUUUGCCGGGGACGAUAAUGACGGUACCCGGAGAAUAAGUCCCGGCUAACUUCGUGCCAGCAGCCGCGGUAAUACGAAGGGGACUAGCGUUGUUCGGAAUCACUGGGCGUAAAGCGCACGUAGGCGGAUUUGUAAGUCAGGGGUGAAAUCCCGGGGCUCAACCUCGGAACUGCCUUUGAUACUGCGGAUCUCGAGUCCGAUAGAGGUGAGUGGAAUUCCUAGUGUAGAGGUGAAAUUCGUAGAUAUUAGGAAGAACACCGGUGGCGAAGGCGGCUCACUGGAUCGGUACUGACGCUGAGGUGCGAAAGCGUGGGGAGCAAACAGGAUUAGAUACCCCAGUAGUCCCUGAGCGGGCUGGCAAGGCGCAU
rnacentral:rRNA from 1 species